UACGUAGGCAGCGAGCGUUGUUCGGAGUUAUUGGGCGUAAAGAGCUCGUAGGCGGUCUGUUACGUCUGCUGUGAAAACCCGGGGCUUAACCCUGGGCUUGCAGUGGAUACGGCAGACUAGAGGCAGGUAGGGGGAGAAUGGAAUUCCCGGUGUAGCGGUGAAAUGCGCAGAUAUCGGGAGGAACACCGGUGGCGAAGGCGGUUCUCUGGGCCUGACCUGACGCUGAGGAGCGAAAGCGUG
rnacentral:rRNA from 1 species